AUGACACGUGGGCUCCUGGGGCGCUCUGCCCUGCAGAUCUCUGGAACUCACUCCUGCUGCAUGGCUGUAACUCGGCACACAUCUACGUGGGGGUCGAUGUCGGUUUCGCCAAACCGCGUGCAAAGCCAGCGCGGUGCCCUGGGCUGGCGAGAGAGAAGGCGUGCAUCUCGGCGCACUGGCGGAGAGCAUUACGCCUUUUUCCCCAACGUCACGUCUUCAGCCAAGGGAGGCUUCGCAUGCGCUGUUUUUGCAGCAAAGGCUCGGGAAGCCAGCAGCCGUGAAGAAGAGAGCGUGGAAAGAGGCAGCCGGUGCGAGGGGCGUGGACACGCUCGCUCCCGCCCUGCCCGCCUGCGGUCCCCGCUGCCCUUGGCCCGGCGCCCACCUGGGCUCGGAAAAGUGCCCCAAAGAAAAACAACCGGAGCUCCUCAGAAGGGGGAGUGGUUCACGCGCGCCCCUGAGCUGAGACGCGCAUUUCAAGACCAGAAGCGGAUUUCAGGCGUGAGUAGCACUUCCAAGAAAAUAUUGUGGCAGGCCCCGGAAGCAACAGACGCUGUUUCUCUCACAUCAGCUCGAGUUGUGCAAGACGCAUCACCAGGCUGGCGUAGGACGGAGGAGCUCCCGCAGGGGAACACCCACCCUACCUUCUCUCCGUCCAGAAGCUGUUACCAUGGCCAUGAAGAGCACUCUGCAAACAGCACAGGGCUCGGCCGAGGCUCUGUGCACAGGCAGCGCGCUCGGGCUCCCCGCCCCGUUCCGAGCGAAUUCCUGACUGAGGGACCUCACAAGCUACUGCACUGCUGUGGCCUCAGGUUCUCAUCUGUCAAGUGGGGAUAAACCACAGCUCCUGUUUCACACUGUUGUUUUGGUGAUUAACGGCCUCAGGUGUGCAAAAUGCUGAGCAUACAGUGGGCACUCAAUCCUGUUCUUGUCACAGGACCUGCCCCUAAUGCCAACCAAGCAAAGCAGAACCAUCAAGGGCUCCUAUUUCCCUGGUUAUUUCUUUAAAAUAUAUAUAUAAUAUAUAUGUACUAUAUAUCUGUAUAUUGUGGGCUGACGCUGUGGCAUAGCAGGUAAAGCCAACACCUGAAGCGCCAGCAUCCCAUAUGGGCGCCGGUUUGCGUCCCAGCUGCUCUAAUUCCGAUCCAGCUCUCUGCUAUGGCCUGGGAAAGCAGAAGAAGAUGGCCCACGUCCUUGGGCUCCUGCACCCACGUGGGAGACCCGGAAGAAGCUCCUGGCUCCUGGCUUUGGGAUUGGUGCAGCUCUGGCCGCUGUGGCCAACUGGGGAGUGAACCAGCGGAUGCAAGCCCUCUCUUUGCCUCUCCUUCUCUCUGUGUAACUCUGAAUUUCAAAUAAAUAAAUCUUUAAAUAUAUGUGUGUGUAUCUA
rnacentral:lncRNA from 1 species